rnacentral:rRNA from 1 species
ACUAAGCGUACACGGUGGAUGCCCUGGCAGUCAGAGGCGAUGAAGGACGUGCUAAUCUGCGAUAAGCGUCGGUAAGGUGAUAUGAACCGUUAUAACCGGCGAUUUCCGAAUGGGGAAACCCAGUGUGAUUCGUCACACUAUCAUUAACUGAAUCCAUAGGUUAAUGAGGCGAACCGGGGGAACUGAAACAUCUAAGUACCCCGAGGAAAAGAAAUCAACCGAGAUUCCCCCAGUAGCGGCGAGCGAACGGGGAGCAGCCCAGAGCCUGAAUCAGUGUGUGUGUUAGUGGAAGCGUCUGGAAAGGCGCGCGAUACAGGGUGACAGCCCCGUACACAAAAAUGCACAUGCUGUGAGCUCGAUGAGUAGGGCGGGACACGUGGUAUCCUGUCUGAAUAUGGGGGGACCAUCCUCCAAGGCUAAAUACUCCUGACUGACCGAUAGUGAACCAGUACCGUGAGGGAAAGGCGAAAAGAACCCCGGCGAGGGGAGUGAAAAAGAACCUGAAACCGUGUACGUACAAGCAGUGGGAGCACAGAGCAAUCUGUGUGACUGCGUACCUUUUGUAUAAUGGGUCAGCGACUUAUAUUCUGUAGCAAGGUUAACCGAAUAGGGGAGCCGAAGGGAAACCGAGUCUUAACUGGGCGUUAAGUUGCAGGGUAUAGACCCGAAACCCGGUGAUCUAGCCAUGGGCAGGUUGAAGGUUGGGUAACACUAACUGGAGGACCGAACCGACUAAUGUUGAAAAAUUAGCGGAUGACUUGUGGCUGGGGGUGAAAGGCCAAUCAAACCGGGAGAUAGCUGGUUCUCCCCGAAAGCUAUUUAGGUAGCGCCUCGUGAAUUCAUCUCCGGGGGUAGAGCACUGUUUCGGCAAGGGGGUCAUCCCGACUUACCAACCCGAUGCAAACUGCGAAUACCGGAGAAUGUUAUCACGGGAGACACACGGCGGGUGCUAACGUCCGUCGUGAAGAGGGAAACAACCCAGACCGCCAGCUAAGGUCCCAAAGUCAUGGUUAAGUGGGAAACGAUGUGGGAAGGCCCAGACAGCCAGGAUGUUGGCUUAGAAGCAGCCAUCAUUUAAAGAAAGCGUAAUAGCUCACUGGUCGAGUCGGCCUGCGCGGAAGAUGUAACGGGGCUAAACCAUGCACCGAAGCUGCGGCAGCGACGCUUAGGCGUUGUUGGGUAGGGGAGCGUUCUGUAAGCCUGCGAAGGUGUACUGUGAGGUAUGCUGGAGGUAUCAGAAGUGCGAAUGCUGACAUAAGUAACGAUAAAGCGGGUGAAAAGCCCGCUCGCCGGAAGACCAAGGGUUCCUGUCCAACGUUAAUCGGGGCAGGGUGAGUCGACCCCUAAGGCGAGGCCGAAAGGCGUAGUCGAUGGGAAACAGGUUAAUAUUCCUGUACUUGGUGUUACUGCGAAGGGGGGACGGAGAAGGCUAUGUUGGCCGGGCGACGGUUGUCCCGGUUUAAGCGUGUAGGCUGGUUUUCCAGGCAAAUCCGGAAAAUCAAGGCUGAGGCGUGAUGACGAGGCACUACGGUGCUGAAGCAACAAAUGCCCUGCUUCCAGGAAAAGCCUCUAAGCAUCAGGUAACAUCAAAUCGUACCCCAAACCGACACAGGUGGUCAGGUAGAGAAUACCAAGGCGCUUGAGAGAACUCGGGUGAAGGAACUAGGCAAAAUGGUGCCGUAACUUCGGGAGAAGGCACGCUGAUAUGUAGGUGAAGCGACUUGCUCGUGGAGCUGAAAUCAGUCGAAGAUACCAGCUGGCUGCAACUGUUUAUUAAAAACACAGCACUGUGCAAACACGAAAGUGGACGUAUACGGUGUGACGCCUGCCCGGUGCCGGAAGGUUAAUUGAUGGGGUCAGCGCAAGCGAAGCUCUUGAUCGAAGCCCCGGUAAACGGCGGCCGUAACUAUAACGGUCCUAAGGUAGCGAAAUUCCUUGUCGGGUAAGUUCCGACCUGCACGAAUGGCGUAAUGAUGGCCAGGCUGUCUCCACCCGAGACUCAGUGAAAUUGAACUCGCUGUGAAGAUGCAGUGUACCCGCGGCAAGACGGAAAGACCCCGUGAACCUUUACUAUAGCUUGACACUGAACAUUGAGCCUUGAUGUGUAGGAUAGGUGGGAGGCUUUGAAGUGUGGACGCCAGUCUGCAUGGAGCCGACCUUGAAAUACCACCCUUUAAUGUUUGAUGUUCUAACGUUGACCCGUAAUCCGGGUUGCGGACAGUGUCUGGUGGGUAGUUUGACUGGGGCGGUCUCCUCCUAAAGAGUAACGGAGGAGCACGAAGGUUGGCUAAUCCUGGUCGGACAUCAGGAGGUUAGUGCAAUGGCAUAAGCCAGCUUGACUGCGAGCGUGACGGCGCGAGCAGGUGCGAAAGCAGGUCAUAGUGAUCCGGUGGUUCUGAAUGGAAGGGCCAUCGCUCAACGGAUAAAAGGUACUCCGGGGAUAACAGGCUGAUACCGCCCAAGAGUUCAUAUCGACGGCGGUGUUUGGCACCUCGAUGUCGGCUCAUCACAUCCUGGGGCUGAAGUAGGUCCCAAGGGUAUGGCUGUUCGCCAUUUAAAGUGGUACGCGAGCUGGGUUUAGAACGUCGUGAGACAGUUCGGUCCCUAUCUGCCGUGGGCGCUGGAGAACUGAGGGGGGCUGCUCCUAGUACGAGAGGACCGGAGUGGACGCAUCACUGGUGUUCGGGUUGUCAUGCCAAUGGCACUGCCCGGUAGCUAAAUGCGGAAGAGAUAAGUGCUGAAAGCAUCUAAGCACGAAACUUGCCCCGAGAUGAGUUCUCCCUGACCCUUUAAGGGUCCUGAAGGAACGUUGAAGACGACGACGUUGAUAGGCCGGGUGUGUAAGCGCAGCAAUGCGUUGAGCUAACCGGUACUAAUGAACCGUGAGGCUUAACC